rnacentral:rRNA from 1 species
GCCCAGACUCCUACGGGAGGCAGCAGUGGGGAAUAUUGCACAAUGGGGGAAACCCUGAUGCAGCGACGCCGCGUGAGCGAAGAAGUAUUUCGGUAUGUAAAGCUCUAUCAGCAGGGAAGAAAUUGACGGUACCUGAGUAAGAAGCUCCGGCUAAAUACGUGCCAGCAGCCGCGGUAAUACGUAGGGGGCAAGCGUUAUCCGGAUUUACUGGGUGUAAAGGGGGCGCAGACGGCAAUGCAAGCCAGGAGUGAAAGCCCGGGGCCCAACCCCGGGACUGCUCUUGGAACUGCAUGGCUGGAGUACAGGAGGGGCAGGCGGAAUUCCUAGUGUAGCGGUGAAAUGCGUAGAUAUUAGGAGGAACACCGGUGGCGAAGGCGGCCUGCUGGACUGUGACUGACGUUGAGGCCCGAAGGCGUGGGGAGCAAACAGGAUUAGAUACCCUCGUAUA